UCGCUUUCCGCAUCGAUACACUAGACAUAUGCUACAGAGAAGGCGUAUAAGUGUGUUCAGUGUUAUAUCUUGAGUAAGAAUAUUAUCCAAAUCGAAUCACUACAACGAGAUCUGUGGACGCCCAUAAGCAUCGUAUUAUUUAAUCUGGUGGGUGAUCGCUCCCGCUCCACAGACGUGACAAUGGAUACGGUUGGAUCGGGGACGAGAAAUGUCCUUGGACUGAAUUAAACCGCUGCGUGGUGAUGGUGUCACGGGACUGCGAACUGGACAAGUUAAAUGUGGAGUGAACCAUCUGACUCGCGCUGGCCGUAGUGACGGAGAGAGGCUAUAGUAUAGUUAUGUCAAGGCUAUCCGUACACGAAGUUGGAUCAAGGAUCGGACAGAGUAAAGACAAGGUUGACUUGAAGUAAAGAUGUAGACUGCUUUUAUUUUGAACAGAGGGUCCUUAUAUAGUACUACAAGUUUGUCUUAUCGUGCUGUUUUUGGUGGCGACUAUAGUGGCUCUCCGUAAGAUGUCACUGAGGUACAACGCGCGAAAUAUC